rnacentral:lncRNA from 1 species
AUUUUUGUUAUAUUUUUAUAUUAUAUAAACACUGUUUUUAAACUUGUUUAAACUAGCAUACAUGUAUUUAACAAUUGGCCGUUUCAGAAUCUAAAGGACUAUGGGUAAUUUGAUUGUUCGUACCCCAAAAUGAAAAUAACGUCACGUCAUUGGUUGAACUUCAAUUUUUAGGACGUUUUUAACCAAUCACGACGUUUUGGUGUAGACUUUUGAAAAUAUUACCCAGAAUGCAUUAGAUUCUGAAACGGCGAAUUGUGAUAAGAGUCUUAGAUCUUCAAAC